rnacentral:rRNA from 1 species
AUCGAACGCUGGCGGCAUGCUUUACACAUGCAAGUCGAACGGUAACAGGCCGCAAGGUGCUGACGAGUGGCGAACGGGUGAGUAAUGCAUCGGAACGUGCCCAGUCGUGGGGGAUAACGCAGCGAAAGCUGUGCUAAUACCGCAUACGAUCUAUGGAUGAAAGCGGGGGACCGUAAGGCCUCGCGCGAUUGGAGCGGCCGAUGUCAGAUUAGGUAGUUGGUGGGGUAAAGGCCCACCAAGCCAACGAUCUGUAGCUGGUCUGAGAGGACGACCAGCCACACUGGGACUGAGACACGGCCCAGACUCCUACGGGAGGCAGCAGUGGGGAAUUCUGGACAAUGGGCGCAAGCCUGAUCCAGCAAUGCCGCGUGCAGGAAGAAGGCCUUCGGGUUGUAAACUGCUUUUGUACGGAACGAAACGGCUCUGGUUAAUACCCGGGGCUAAUGACGGUACCGUAAGAAUAAGCACCGGCUAACUACGUGCCAGCCGCCGCCGUAACAC